GGGGAAGUGAGGACCGGGAACGGA
rnacentral:piRNA from 1 species